rnacentral:rRNA from 1 species
UACGGAGGGUGCAAGCGUUAAUCGGAAUUACUGGGCGUAAAGCGUGCGCAGGCGGUUAUGUAAGACAGGGGUGAAAUCCCCGGGCUUAACCUGGGAACUGCAUUUGUGACUGCAUAGCUAGAGUACGGUAGAGGGGGAUGGAAUUCCGCGUGUAGCAGUGAAAUGCGUAGAUAUGCGGAGGAACACCGAUGGCGAAGGCAAUCCCCUGGACCUGUACUGACGCUCAUGCACGAAAGCGUGGGGAGCAAACAGG